UCAUCCACAGAUUGUGUGAGGGCUUGUCGAUCCUGUCUUGGACUUGGGCCCAUUUUCCCCAGAAGUAGAGUCUGGAGAAAAGGACUGUGUCCUUCCUCAGGCUUAGGCUUGGCUUUGAGUGAGUUUUUGGCUCUAAGUCAGAACAGUUUCACUUGAUGAAUCAGGUUUUCAUGAUUCAGCUCUCUUUGAGGAAAGACUGCAAAAGACAAAGAGUUUAUCACGUAGAUGAAAAAUUAAAGUGUAAGAAGGAAAUUUUAUGAUAUUGGAAGACAUGGCAUGACUUUGCCUCGGCUUCAGUUAUGUAAAUAUCAGACUCUUCAUAAUGUUUAAAAUAUUUGUUCCCCGUGAUCAGAGUUUAGUCUUUACUGUGGUCCUUAAGCUAGAGCAGUAAUGUGAACUACCAUUGAGUUUGCAUUUAGUUUAUUAACUCAUUUAUUCGUUCAACAUACAUUUGAAUCUCCCAGGUAUCUGGCUAGAUGCUGCAUUAAAGCUUUCUCCCCUUCCCUUUCAGUUAAUAGUGCAUUAAAGGUCAAAUUUUAAUUUUGGAACAUUUUGCUAUAUUAAGAGAACUGUACUUUCAUGUGUGCUACAAUCAAAAUGAAUUUUUGCUCCAGAAAAAAAAAAAUGGACUGAAGAUUAAAAUUUAAGGCAGAUGAGUUCCCAGUUAUUGCAGUUGAAAGCUUUUUAUUAUCUCCUGCAGGUUCAUCUUCCUUCUUGUACAGUGUUUUCAAACUUCCCAGUCAUUAAAAAGAAUAUUUCUCAUGUUCAUACAAUGGAUUUUUCUCCCAGAAGUGGAUACUUUGCGUUGGGGAAUGAGAAGGGCAAGGCUCUGAUGUAUAGGUUGCAUCAUUACUCAGACUUCUAAAGCGAUUAUUUGAAGUAAGAAAAUCCUUUUCUCAUAAAUUCUACAGGUUUUAAGGUUACUCCCAUUGCUAUCAGUUGGCAGAGGUACCUACCGCCUUAGCUGAGCUUUGAUUCUCUACCCCUAGGUUGUUGCAUCUUCAGUUAGGGGAAUGGGAUGGAAGUAGACCAGGAACUGUCCAGCUGGACUUGAACCUUCCUUUGGAAUUUAUUAUCUUAUAUCACAUAAUCUGGCUCAGUUCUUACUGAGGUCAUAUCUCUAAUAUUGCAUUCAGAAUUGUUAUCAAAAUUAUAAUUACUCAGCAUGUUUAAUCCACAAAAGAGAAUAGAGAUAACCAACAGAUCGGUACCUUUACAUAUUGCUAUAUCUUGUAUGAGCUUGAACCCUCUCAUUGUGUAUGUGUUUCUUGAGAGGUUAUAAGUGGCUUGUCCUGUUUUCACAGAGAUAGUUAAAAUAUAGGAUAUGCUUCCCUUCUCAUGACUUGAUCUUUGACUUGAGAUAUGGUGGUAGUUAUGAGGUUGAGCUUUGCAGUUGGCCUUCUUGGGAUUCAUGAAUGUUGAGGAGAGACUCUGGGAGUGCAGACAGAUUUAAUUAGGGAAAGGGAUUUUUAAAGGUAGAGGAAUUUUGAGCAAAGCUUUAGCCAGGAAAGGGAAACAGUCCAUCUAUCCUAUCUCUCAAAAUUACAUUGCCAGUACAUGUUGGUUGUUGGUGACCAGCAAUUAUAAAUCAGGUAUAUGAUUUCUUCUGUUCUUUUCUCAGGUCCGGUUGAGCGGCGAGAAAAUCCCGUCCAGAUGUAUCUUCUCAGAAUCUUUCCUGAAUGUGUGAUGAUGCGUGGAGAAUGAUUUAUAGAGCCAGUUGUGCUUAAGUUAACAGCAAUAUUGUAAUAAAUACAUGGCAGCUUUUAUUUGAAAA